AUGAUAAUCGGCGAGCUGGUCGGGCAAAUGUCAGAGUCCGUCUUGAUCGCGUUGUCGCCAACAACUCUUGGUGGGAUAUUUUUCUCGGAUGCCAAGGUGGAGCACCUAGUGGCGCCUAGCUCGGACCACCAGGCUAUCUUGCUUAGGUGCAUGCUCGAGGAGCCCCUACCGCCGACCGGCGGGAGGUGUCGGCAAUAUGAGGUAAUGUGGGAGAGAGACCCCGCUCUCCCGGAGGUAAUUAUGCAUACUUGGACUGAGAUGGGCGCUAUGCUAAACCUGGGUGAUAUUGCGGUCGGGUUGGGUAAUAUGAUGAAAAAACUACAAGAAUGGAGCCACAAAAAAUUUGGUAACGUUAUCAAGGAAAUUAAUAAGUCCCGCUCACGUUUGGAAGAGUUUAUGUCUAUGAAUGCAGACAGGAAGGAAAUUAGGGAGGCCACCGACCGGAUGAAUGAACUCCUGUACAGGGAGAAGAUGCUUUGGAUGCAGAGAUCUCGUGUGGCAUGGUUGCUGGGAGGUGACCGCAACACACGUUUUUUCACCAGAAAGCAGUAUGGCGUGCAAGAAAAAAUCGCAUAA
rnacentral:rRNA from 1 species